UAAAAUAAUCUUAAAAUAGUUGAAUACGGUUUGCUAAUUGGUUUAUGUUACGAUUGAUUUUUUAAUGUAAAAUAUACUAAUAUAUUGUAAUAUUGUAAUUAAUUACAAUAAAAUCAGCUUGGAGGUUUUAGAAUAUAAUACUGGUAUAUAAAUAGAGUUUCACCCGCUUUAAUUUAGAUUGCUGAUGUGAUCACAUUUUGAGCUAUAUUAUAAUUUAAUUUUUUAAAAGGGAAUCACAAUAACCGCAGCCUGUCGGAUUGUCGAUUUCGUUUUUGAAAGGCAAUUAAAACAAGAAAAACAUAUGGAGAUAAUAUAUGAAUUCGAUUUAUCAUUAAAAUUGGAUACACGAAAGGGAAGUGUCUAAUUGUGGAGCAAAUGACUCCACUCCACCUGAUGGUAAGUUAUAGUGGAGUCCAAACGCAACGACGGCUAGUAAAGUCGAGAAUGUUCUGCACUAGCCGCCCCCGCCUUGCCUGCACGCAAGAUGCCUCUUCACGCCUCGUUUGAAGGAACCCAGGUUAUAAGAGAAGGGCAACACGUGUGCUGGUAAAGAAUUCCAUUUUUUAGUGGUGUGACAAAGAAAAGAGUUGCCAAAUUUCUUCGUGCGCGAUGGAAUUGAUGUCACAGUAAGGCGAUGACAUCGAGAGCCAGCACGCGUAGAUUUGUGAAGGAAAGGGGAAGCGGCAAUGAGAGAGAUUAAUUCCUCAGAGCACUCGCCGUGAUAAAUUCUACAGAAAGCGCUUAGCGCUGCUAUUCCUCGACGCAAUUGCAAAGGCUCGAUGGUGUUAGCGACCUUUGCGUCGUCGAUAAUGCGAAUCGCACGUCGUUGCAACCGAUCCAAGGCCUCCAGUAGGUACUUAGCGGAGCCAUCCCAAAGGUGCGAGCAAUAUUCAACGCAAGACCGCACCUGCGUUUUGUAUAACAGGAGCAGUUGCUGUGGCGUGAAAAAACGCCGGACUUUGUUCAGAACCCCGAGUUUCCUUGAAGCUGUUUUGAUAACAGCCUCGAUAUAAUCCCUUGAAUUGAGGUCGCAUCGAACGCAUAUUUUAACAAACAUAAUUAAAUUAAUAAAAAACAUUAUAAGAGUACACGUAAAUAAAUACAAAAUAAUACACGCCGUCUAAAAUAUUGUCCUAAGCCAUUGUACCGAAGACGCUGGCAUUAUUGCCUCUUAAUAAAUAUUAUAUAAAUAUUGAAUAUUAAUUCGAAUGGAAGACAUAGUCAGCUACGUAGAACUAAAUUUAUCCUACAAGGAAAUCAACGAAUGAUAAUAACUCGCUUUUUGCUAGCUAUAUAUUGCGUUAUGAAAUAAGCUUUAUCUUUUUUUGAAGGGCAGGUUGGCCUGUUUGAUAGAUAUUUGCCUUUUACGCCGAAAGUUGUGAGUUCGAUUCCCACCCAGGACAAACAUUUGUGUGCAUUAACAUGUCUGUUUGUCCUGAGUCUGGGUGUAAUUAUUAUUAUUUAAUUAUGUAUAUAAGUAUGUAUUUACAAAAGAAAAAUAGUAUAUGUUGUAUAUCAGUUGUCUGGUUUCAAUAGUACAAGCUCUGCUUAGUUUGGGAUCAGAUGGCCGUCUGUGAAUAAUGUCCCAGGAUAUUAUUAUUUUAAUGUUUUAAAGCAUUUGAUUUAUAUUAAUAAAUUGAUAAAUAGGAAAUAAUAAAAAUAUCUGCGAAUCAUAUUAUACCUUGCUCCAAGCAACAGACAGACACCGGCGAUGCAAGAAACAACAACCACUCCUUAAAACGCCUAUGUGCCACCAACCUUGGGAACUAAGAUGUUAUGUCCCGUGUGCCUGUAAUUACUGGCUCAUGGUUAAAAUAGAACACACCAAUAAUUAUUUAUUGAAGAUUAGCGAUAAGAUGACCGGGUGCUAUCGAAACGGACUUACUGAAAACUAAACAAGUAUUUACAAACUGUACUUUUGAUCUUUACCUUAUAGUUGCUGUUGUCGUCGCAUUUCGUGCAACAUCGACCACCGUAUCCUUGCGUCGUACCCCUCUGGUAUAUAUUGUUGUUAUUUAUAUCCCUGGUCGUCGAUGUGUAAGUGUUGAAAUUGUGAGACAUGAUGACCUGAAAUCGAAAUUAAAAAAUUUUGAAUAUAUUUGUGUAUACUCUAAUGUUGAUUACUGAUAACAAGUGUCACAUAUAGUCAUAUAUUUAUAUAUAUGUACAUUUAUACUUUAAGCAUUCGUGUUGUAUGUUAUCAAUUGUUAUUUUUUUAUAACAAGCUUUUAUUAUUAAUAUAUUUAAUAUUAUAACCUUGAAAUAUUCGUUAGUUUCAUGAAUUGUCUUGCAAGCUGAAUAAGGAAGUGGAUCCCUCUUAUCCCACAGUUUUGAAUUUUUAAAUGUUGUUCGAGUACCGAUGACAAUGCAUUUAUUGUAAUUGUGACCUGAUUCUAUACCCAAGACUGGCAGACGAAUCUCCUUGAUGAUCAAACGUAUAGACACAAAUCUAGCGCCAAGCUCGGCCGACUGGAACCAUCGAAUUGCAAAUUCUGAUAGUUAGGCUAGUUGGGCUCUUCGGGCAGGGCCAAAGUUUAAUAAUUAAAAUGAAUCGUAAAUUCGAAAAUAUAUUAAUAUUCAUUAGAAGAUAGGUUCUGCUUGGGUCAUCUUCACACAAAGUAUAUACGAGCUUUAUGUUGAACUGACAAACAUAAUGAAUAAAGUAUAAUUAUUUUUUAAUUUAAAGAAAAAACUCCACAGGACAUAUUAAAGUGCAUUAGGGUGUGCACACUCUCUCGAGGCUCGAGAGUGUUUACUACCAACGUCCCUAUUCCACGCUUCUUUUGAGAGUAUCGUGACGGAAAAAUGCGAUAACUAUUUACUGAGACUAGAACUCAGGAUUUACAGCCUCACAAGCCAGUCACUAAGCUAAUGAAGCAGCCAUGGCACCAUUCAUUAUUUUAUUACAUGUAUUAAACGUUUGCGUUAUUACAAUUAAUAACGGACAUUUGUCGAGAUUUGCCCAUUGAUAUACUUAAAAACAUGAUCUUAGCACUAAUCGACUUUUGUGGAGGUCUGUA